rnacentral:rRNA from 1 species
GAUGAACGCUGGCGGCGUGCCUAAUACAUGCAAGUCGAGCGAACAGACGAGGAGCUUGCUCCUCUGACGUUAGCGGCGGACGGGUGAGUAACACGUGGAUAACCUACCUAUAAGACUGGGAUAACUUCGGGAAACCGGAGCUAAUACCGAUAAUUUAUUUAACCCCAAUGUUUAAUAAUGAAAGACGGUUUUUCCUUUACCUUUUGAUUGAUCCGCGCCGCAUUAGCUAGUUGGUAAGGUAACGGCUUACCAAGGCAACGAUGCGUAGCCGACCUGAGAGGGUGAUCGGCCACACUGGAACUGAGACACGGUCCAGACUCCUACGGGAGGCAGCAGUAGGGAAUCUUCCGCAAUGGGCGAAAGCCUGACGGAGCAACGCCGCGUGAGUGAUGAAGGUCUUCGGAUCGUAAAACUCUGUUAUUAGGGAAGAACAAAUGUGUAAGUAACUAUGCACGUCUUGACGGUACCUAAUCAGAAAGCCACGGCUAACUACGUG